AAACACUAGAUUGAUAGCUAAAGUUCAAGCCACAAAGUCAUUGAAGCUAAGAAGAAUUUGAAGAAUUCAUGGAGAUUUGGAGAUCAAGAAUACAAUUCUUAAGCUUUUUUAUCUUUUUUUAAUUCUUUUAUUUUCUUGGUUUUGUUUUUAAUAUUUAAACUUUAUUUGAUGGUGAUAUGUGACUUGAUGGGGAACUAAUUCAUUUAUCUAAGAUUAUGAUUGAACUCAAUAUGUAGUCUAAUUUAUUCGUCUCUCUUUUACUUAUGUUUGAUGGAUUUAAGUUAUUUAUUUUAUUUUAUUCUUAAUGCUUCUAAUUGCCUGAUCACCAAUUAGAUUGAAUUGGAAACCUAAGUUAAACUUUGAUAACGGAGAUUUAGGUAGACCUUGAAUAGAAUAACGUAUGAUCAAAUGCACUUAGUUGAUUAGGUGGUUUGAUUUGCAUAUAGGGUAGACAUACAACUAUAAGCCAUACGUAGCCAAGGUUAAAGCAUG
rnacentral:lncRNA from 1 species